GUUUAUUAUUAAGUUUAUGUUUAAGAUUAGGUUUAUAAUUAAUUGUAGUAUUGGGAUUAUGUUUCAGAUUAGGAUUCAGAUAAGGAUCAGGGUCAGCACGGGCAUCCCUUGCUGAAUAUAGCAAGGGAAUUCCUCGGCUGACACCAGCAGGGGGAAUCAUUUUAACACUAUUGCUAAAGGUAGGAUUGAGAUUAGGAUUAAAGUUAUAAUUAAGGUUACACAUGGGAUUACGUUAUGGGUUAGGAUUGUAGUAAGGGUUUAUUAGAUUGAGGGUUAGAUUUGGUAUUAGGAUUUGGUUUAGAAUUAGGACUUGGUUUAGGAUUAGGGAUUUAGAUCACUACUUUCCAAAGAUAUACAUAUGGGGUAUAUUUGUACUGAGAAGAUGUUGCUGAGUACAGCUAAAAUAAUUCUAUGACAGUGGGACACACGA